CACCUACAUAGUCUUCUCUGGAGUAAGACAGCUGGACUUGAGCUUCACCCGGAGCUCCACCACCAUGUCCCUCAGGGCCUUCACCUCCACCCAGAUGUCAGUGGUGGUUUCCUUUGUCGUCUGCUCAGUCUCUAGUUCCUCUGUGAGAACUCCAUCCAUCCCAUGAGCCCCUGACCCACACAGGCCGAGCAGCAGCAGCGACAGCAGACCAAAGACAACCCUCAUGAUCCAGCUACAGGUCUCUACAAAAGCCAGAGUGAACUGGAGAUGGUAGACCCCUUUGACUGGUGCUGUGAAGAAACCUGAAGAGAAUGAAGAGAAAUAUGAAUGAAACACAGGAAGAACUGAUCUAUGGAGACUUUAUUUAAGACAUGUGUAUCAUUUCAUAUGUCCAGCUCAUGUAACCUGCAGUUUACUACCUGUAGAGGGAUUGUAAGCAUUGCCGAUGUUGGUGAUGACCUUGAUGAAUUUUAGGUUUGUGUCUGUGCUGUACGGUCCAAUAUUUCCUGUAUCAGUCAGACCUGUGUGGAACGCCACCUGAGGCUUCUCUGUUAACACAGAAGAAGAAAAUAACAUUCAUUGAUCAAUCAUGGACUAACAACGCCAUGUGUGACGUGUCUGUGUGACAUCAUCACCUGCGUUUUCUGUCUCCAGCUGGUUGAUCCUGGACGUGCUGAGGAGAAGUUCACUCUGCAAGUCUGAGUUUCAAACAAUGAGAGAGUGAAAGAGAUAAACCAGGAAAUACCAAAGUUUUAAAAUGCACAACAUGUUUUAUAGACUGUGUGAACUCUGAGACAAGAUCAAACCACACUUAAGUCAAACUGUGCAAUGAGGUCUAAAUACCUGCAGUUUCUUCUUCUAGUUCACUUGUCCUCCUCUCGGAGGAAGUCAGUCUGGUUUCCAGAGAUUUGAGUUCUGUGGUCUGAGCUGAAAAACAAAAGAAAUUAGAUUUUUGUUUGAUUGAGGAAUGUCCAAAAAAUGUUUAAAAAACACUCAAACCUGUUUUUAAGUCAUUGAUAUUGUCAAAAAAUUU